rnacentral:rRNA from 1 species
AAGCCUGAUCCAGCCAUGCCGCGUGUGUGAAGAAGGCCUUCGGGUUGUAAAGCACUUUCGGCCGGAACGAAAUCGCGCGGGCUAUUACCCCGCGUGGAUGACGGUACCGGAAGAAGAAGCACCGGCUAACUACGUGCCAGCAGCCGCGGUAAUACGUAGGGUGCGAGCGUUAAUCGGAAUUACUGGGCGUAAAGGGUGCGCAGGCGGCGUCGCAAGUCAGGCGUGAAAUCCCCGGGCUUAACCUGGGAAUUGCACUUGAAACUACGAUGCUGGAGUAUGGCAGAGGGAGGUGGAAUUCCACGUGUAGCGGUGAAAUGCGUAGAGAUGUGGAGGAACACCGAUGGCGAAGGCAGCCUCCUGGGCCAAUACUGACGCUCAUGCACGAAAGCGUGGGGAGCAAACAGGAUUAGAUACCCUGGUAGUCCACGCCCUAAACGAUGAUGACUAGUUGUUGGAGGAGUUAAAUCCUUUAGUAACGCAGCU